GGAAGAAAGACAGGGAUUUCGGUCAAGGGAGGUUCCUGGUAAAAGUGAACUUUUAGAGGGCUAUGAAGGUGUUAGCUAAGUGGGGAAACUUCCUAGCAAAGAGUAGGAGACACAGCCCACAAAAGUAGAGGCGCGCACAAUAGGGUGAGGUCUACAAAAGCAUGGAUAGGAUGACUCCACUUGCCUGUGUCUCUUGGUGCGUAUUUCUUGUGAAGGGAUUUGGAGUUCAUCCCCAUCUCUCUGGGGAGCUAAUAAAAGGUUUUAAACAGAAGCACUGGUAUCAUAUUUAGAUUGUAGGGCGGAUAGAAGAGGUAAUUUCUCAGGCAGCAGGAUGCGUUCAAACCUGAAAGGCAACAGUGAGAUCUACCCUCUGCUAAGUGCUCCCAGGUGUGUGGUUUGCAAAGGUGUGCGAGGGUGGCCACAUCACUGCAGACGGUGGAUUCCAAUGUCCACGAACAAGCAGGAGUCGGAUCUGAACACAGGUGUCCCUAAUUCACUUGCCUGCCCCACUGCCUCACGAUCGGUUCUAAGUGGGCAACAAGGAGAGCCUGAAAAAGUGGUCUACUUUGAGCCCAGGCUGGGAAUAUUACAGUGACGUCUAUCAUAACCAGCUUAUGGCUUUGACUGGGGACACAGGAACGCAUGCAGCAGUCACCUCUCCUUUCCUGAGCUGCCGAGUUGAACCUUGAUAGGUAAGAGAGCGGUAAACGUGGGUGUG
rnacentral:lncRNA from 1 species